AACGAACGCUGGCGGCAGGCCUAACACAUGCAAGUCGAGCGAGGACUUCGGUCCUAGCGGCGGACGGGUGAGUAACGCGUGGGAACGUGCCCUUUGCUUCGGAAUAGCCCUGGGAAACUGGGAGUAAUACCGGAUGAGCCCUUUGGGGGAAAGAUUUAUCGGCGAAGGAUCGGCCCGCGUUGGAUUAGGUAGUUGGUGGGGUAAUGGCCUACCAAGCCGACGAUCCAUAGCUGGUUUGAGAGGAUGAUCAGCCACACUGGGACUGAGACACGGCCCAGACUCCUACGGGAGGCAGCAGUGGGGAAUCUUAGACAAUGGGGGAAACCCUGAUCUAGCCAUGCCGCGUGAGCGAUGAAGGCCUUAGGGUUGUAAAGCUCUUUCAGCUGGGAAGAUAAUGACGGAACCAGCAGAAGAAGCCCCGGCUAACUCCGU
rnacentral:rRNA from 1 species